rnacentral:tRNA from 1 species
GUUCGACAUGGCCCUCGUGGCGCCGGCGCUGGACCGGCUGGGUGUCGACACCCGGGCCGCGUUCGACGCGCUGGCCGGGCA